AUGAGUGGCGAACGGGUGAGUAACACGUGGGAAACCUACCUCUUAGCAGGGGAUAACAUUUGGAAACAAAUGCUAAUACCGUAUAAUAAUUAAAACCGCAUGGUUUUAGUUUAAAAGAUGGUCUUGCUAUCACUAAGAGAUGGUCCCGCGGUGUAUUAGUUAGUUGGUGAGGUAAUGGCUCACCAAGACAAUGAUACAUAGCCGAGUUGAGAGACUGACCGGCCACAAUGGGACUGAGACACGGCCCAUACUCCUACGGGAGGCAGCAGUAGGGAAUCUUCCACAAUGGACGAAAGUCUGAUGGAGCAACGCCGCGUGUGUGAUGAAGGGUUUCGGCUCGUAAAACACUGUUGUAAGAGAAGAAUGACAUUGAGAGUAACUGUUCAAUGUGUGACGGUAUCUUACCAGAAAGGAACGGCUAAAUACGUGCCAGCAGCCGCGGUAAUACGUAUGUUCCAAGCGUUAUCCGGAUUUAUUGGGCGUAAAGCGAGCGCAGACGGUUAUUUAAGUCUGAAGUGAAAGCCCUCGGCUCAACCGAGGAAUUGCUUUGGAAACUGGAUAACUUGAGUGCAGUAGAGGAAAGUGGAACUCCAUGUGUAGCGGUGAAAUGCGUAGAUAUAUGGAAGAACACCAGUGGCGAAGGCGGCUUUCUGGACUGUAACUGACGUUGAGGCUCGAAAGUGUGGGUAGCAAACAGGAUUAGAUACCCUGGUAGUCCACACUGUAAACGAUGAGUGCUAGUUGUUCGAGGGUUUCCGCCCUUGAGUGACGAAGCUAACGCAUUAAGCACUCCGCCUGGGGAGUACGACCGCAAGGUUGAAACUCAAAGGAAUUGACGGGGACCCGCACAAGCGGUGGAGCAUGUGGUUUAAUUCGAAGCAACGCGAAGAACCUUACCAGGUCUUGACAUCCUUUGACCACUCCAGAGAUGGAGCUUUCCCUUCGGGGACAAAGUGACAGGGUGGUGCAUGGUUGUCGUCAGCUCGUGUCGUGAGAUGUUGGGUUAAGUCCCGCAACGAGCGCAACCCUUAUUGUUAGUUGCCAGCAUUUAGUUGGGCACUCUAGCAAGACUGCCGGUGACAAACCGGAGGAAGGCGGGGAUGACGUCAAAUCAUCAUGCCCCUUAUGACCUGGGCUACACACGUGCUACAAUGGCAAGUACAACGAGUCGCCAACCCGCGAGGGUGCGCAAAUCUCUUAAAGCUUGUCUCAGUUCGGACUGUAGGCUGCAACUCGCCUACACGAAGUCGGAAUCGCUAGUAAUCGCGGAUCAGCACGCCGCGGUGAAUACGUUCCCGGGUCUUGUACACACCGCCCGUCACACCAUGAGAGUUUGUAACACCCAAAGUCGGUGAGGUAACCUU
rnacentral:rRNA from 1 species